GGCAGAGGAAGCUCAUCAACGGGGCCACGUGCUGAGUGCCCAUCACUCUCCAGCCCCUGGGAAGGUCUGAGACUGGGGCCUCCUACGGCCCUAACCGGGCCCUCCCCUAGCGGGGAGGUGAGUUCCCAGAGAGCACCCAACCUUGUUUGUAAGACAGGGUUUCUUUGUAUAGCCCUGACUGUCCUGAAACUCACUGUGUAGACCGGACUGGCCUUGAAUUCACAGAGAUUUACAUGCAUCUGUCUCCAGAGUGCUGGGAUUAAAGAUGUGUGAUGCCACAACAUGGCUCACCUAUGAUUUUUUUUUAUUUUUUUAUUUUUUUGGAGACAGGGUUUCUCUGUGGAACAGCCCAAACUGUCCUAGAACUAGCUCUGUAGACAAGGCUGGCCUCGAACUCAGAGAUCCACCUGCC
rnacentral:lncRNA from 1 species